UGUGGCAUGUGAGCGGCAGGUCUGAAAAAGCAGGUGUGUGCUGGGACGGGCACUGGACUGGAACGCAGGCGGACGCUCUCGGGUUUACCUGCUUCCUGUUAACAGAUUGUGGGCUCCCAGGGCAUAUGUCUGCACGCUGAGGCCGAGGCGGAGAAGGGGCUUCCUGAGCGUCCCAGUACACUGACAGAGACACUUGGAUUGGACUUAAUCUUAAACCUCUGGAGUUCAAGACCUUUUAAAAAGGGCUAAAUAAACAAUCUCUACAUGUAAAAGGCCACUGACUCCUGCUUCCUCUGUAUAGAGCAACUGUUGAACUCAGCUGCCUGUAAAUAGCGGUGGGUGUGCUCGCAAACGUGCCGCCAUGUCUGUUACGCUAACAUCUGUGAAGAGAGUGCAAAGUUCUCCAAACCUAUUGGCUGCAGGGCGUGAUUCUCAGUCACCAGACUCAGCUUGGAGAUCUUACAAUGAUGGCAGUCAAGAGGCACUGAACGAAGAUGCUCCAUAUUCCUCUCUGGCAGCAAAAGGUUUUAGAAGCGUCCGACCAAACCUACAAGAGAAGAGAUCAGC
rnacentral:sRNA from 1 species